rnacentral:lncRNA from 12 species
UCGGCUGCUCCCCGCCCGCGUACCCGGUGCUGAACCAGAGCCUUUAAAUUUCGCCCGACUUGACUGGCCGCCUCUUGGGAAGGACGCUGGGGGUGGUGGGGCCCAGCGGAGGAGAUGAUUUAUUCUUCUAAAUGAAAUAAAGGGCUGCUUUGUCAGUCUCCUCAAAAACUAUAAUUAUAACAAUUUAUAACAGCUGAAGAUGUUUAAGAACUUCUCACCAAAGCACAUCACUUGGAAAACACAGCUCAUGUAAGCUUGCUUAUAACAGAUUCUGAAGAUUAACUUCAAAAUCCUUAGAAGAAGAGAACAAACGCUCGGUUAGGGUGAAGAAUGUUGGGUAUACAAAAUAAAGGUCCAUUCCUCAUUUGUUGAAAUCAGCUCUUCAUCCAAGAAGAGCCCUAUGAGAAACAAAGACUUCAGUUUUGAAGAUCAAGACUUGGGUAACAGAAAAGGCACAAGAACAUAUUUAAAGCAUGAAGGGCAUUAACCCAAUAAGUCAACUGAAUUGCAUGGAAAAUUGAUCUUAUAUUUUCUUAAAUAAAUGGAAAAUCUGAUAGUUAAAA